rnacentral:rRNA from 1 species
CGGUAAGGCUCCAGCUUGCUGGGGUACACGAGUGGCGAACGGGUGAGUAACACGUGGGUGACCUGCCCUGCACUUCGGGAUAAGCCUGGGAAACUGGGUCUAAUACCGGAUAGGACCGCACCGUGAGGGUGUGGUGGAAAGUUUUUUCGGUGUGGGAUGGGCCCGCGGCCUAUCAGCUUGUUGGUGGGGUAAUGGCCUACCAAGGCGGCGACGGGUAGCCGGCCUGAGAGGGUGGACGGCCACAUUGGGACUGAGACACGGCCCAGACUCCUACGGGAGGCAGCAGUGGGGAAUAUUGCACAAUGGGCGGAAGCCUGAUGCAGCGACGCCGCGUGGGGGAUGACGGCCUUCGGGUUGUAAACUCCUUUCACCAUCGACGAAGGGUUUCUGACGGUAGAUGGAGAAGAAGCACCGGCUAACUACGUGCCAGCAGCCGCGGUAAUACGUAGGGUGCGAGCGUUGUCCGGAAUUACUGGGCGUAAAGAGCUCGUAGGUGGUUUGUCGCGUCGUCUGUGAAAUUCCGGGGCUUAACUCCGGGCGUGCAGGCGAUACGGGCAUAACUUGAGUACUGUAGGGGAGACUGGAAUUCCUGGUGUAGCGGUGAAAUGCGCGGAUAUCAGGAGGAACACCGGUGGCGAAGGCGGGUCUCUGGGCAGUAACUGACGCUGAGGAGCGAAAGCAUGGGGAGCGAACAGGAUUAGAUACCCUGGUAGUCCAUGCCGUAAACGGUGGGCGCUAGGUGUGGGUUUCCUUCCACGGGAUCCGUGCCGUAGCUAACGCAUUAAGCGCCCCGCCUGGGGAGUACGCCGCAAGGCUA